AUGGCGCUGCCCUACCUGGAGGCCGUCCUGUGCUUUAUGACUCUCAAUUACAUAUUUGAGACAUAUCUUAACAUCAGGCAGCAUAGAGCCCUUAAGUUACCAACAUUGCCAAAAUCCCUGGCAAAGGUAAUUAGUCAUGAAAAAUUUGAGCAGGCGAGAGCUUAUAGCCUGGACAAAAGCAAUUUCAAUUUUGUACGUGAGGCCAUAACUAUAGUAUGCGAUAUCGUGAUACUGUACUAUAAAGUUCUUCCUUGGUUUUGGACGAAAUCUGGAGUGUUAGUAACCAAUGUUGGCCUGAAUGCAGAAAAUGAGAUAAUACACACCCUUGCAUUCUUAGCAGGUGUCAUGGUUUGGUCACAGAUCACAGACUUGCCAUUCUCUCUGUACUCUACUUUUGUUAUUGAGGCUCGACACGGGUUUAACAAGCAAACAUUCUGGCUCUUCAUUUGGGACAUGAUCAAGGGAAUUUUGCUGUCCGUUGUACUCGCACCACCAAUUGUGGCUGCUAUCAUCGUUAUAGUACAGAAUGGAGGGCCUUACCUAGCAAUAUAUCUCUGGGGUUUUAUGUUUGCGCUAGCUCUGCUGAUGAUGACAAUUUACCCUAUCAUGAUAGCUCCUCUGUUCAACAAAUUCACUCCUCUUCCCGAAGGCUCGCUCAGGGAGAAAAUAGAGAAGUUAGCAGAUUCCCUCAAGUUUCCUCUGAAAAAGCUUUUUGUGGUGGAUGGGUCUACUCGAUCAAGCCACAGUAAUGCUUACAUGUAUGGGUUUUUCAAGAAUAAGCGCAUUGUUCUCUAUGACACAUUGAUACAACAGUGUAGUAAUGAUAAUGAGAUCGUUUCUGUUCUUGCGCACGAGCUUGGGCACUGGAAACUCAAUCACACUGCAUAUUCCUUUGUAGCUGUGCAGGUGCUUACAUUUAUGCAAUUCGGAGGAUACACUCUUGUAAGGAAUUCCAAAGAUCUCUUUGAAAGUUUUGGUUUUGAGGAUCAGCCGGUAAUCAUUGGACUGAUCAUUUUUAUGCACACUAUUAUACCCGUCCAACACCUUCUGAGUUUUUGCCUCAACCUCGUCAGCAGAGCAUUUGAAUUUCAGGCUGAUGCUUUUGCCAAGAACCUUGGGUAUGCUCCUGAGCUCAGGGGAGCCCUUGUUAAACUACAGGAAGAGAACUUAUCUGCAAUGAACACAGAUCCGUGGUAUUCAGCAUACCACUACUCCCAUCCACCCCUUGUUGAAAGACUGUCUGCUCUUGAAGACCUGGACAGCAAGAAAGAGAACUAA
rnacentral:rRNA from 1 species